UACGUAGGGUCCGAGCGUUGUCCGGAAUUACUGGGCGUAAAGAGCUCGUAGGUGGUUUGUCGCGUUGUUCGUGAAAACUCACAGCUCAACUGUGGGCGUGCGGGCGAUACGGGCAGACUGGAGUACUGCAGGGGAGACUGGAAUUCCUGGUGUAGCGGUGGAAUGCGCAGAUAUCAGGAGGAACACCGGUGGCGAAGGCGGUGGUCUGGGCCGGAACUGACGCUGAGGAGCGAAAGCGUGGGGAGCGAACAGG
rnacentral:rRNA from 1 species